rnacentral:rRNA from 1 species
GGAUCUUCGGCAAUGGACGAAAGUCUUGACCGAGCAACGCCGCGUGUGCGAUGAAGGCCUUCGGGUCGUAAAGCGCUUUUGGGAGGGAUGAAAAUGACAGUACCUCCCGAAUAAGGAUCGGCUAACUACGUGCCAGCAGCCGCGGUAAGACGUAGGAUCCAAGCGUUAUCCGGAAUUACUGGGCGUAAAGGGCGUGUAGGAGGUUGGGCAAGUCGGCCAUGAAAGCUCCCGGCUCAACUGGGAGAGGCUGGUCGAUACUGCCUGGCUAGAGGGCAAGAGAGGGAGGUGGAAUUCCCGGUGUAGUGGUGAAAUGCGUAGAUAUCGGGAGGAACACCAGUGGCGAAGGCGGCCUCCUGGCUUGUACCUGACUCUGAAACGCGAAAGCAUGGGUAGCAAACAGGAUUAGAAACCCUGGUAGUCCAUGCCAUAAACGAUGUCAACUGGGUGUCGGCGAAGUAAAAUUUGUCGGUGCCGAAGCUAACGCGUUAAGUUGACCGCCUAAGGACUACGAUCGCAAGAUUAAAACUCAAAUGAAUUGACGG